rnacentral:tRNA from 1 species
GGCUUCAUAGCUCAGUUGGUUAGAGGGUCGCACCGGUAUCGCGAGGUUCAAACCCCGUUGAGGUCC